rnacentral:rRNA from 1 species
UACGGAGGGUGCAAGCGUUAAUCGGAAUUACUGGGCGUAAAGCGCACGCAGGCGGUCUGUUAAGUCAGAUGUGAAAUCCCCGGGCUUAACCUGGGAACUGCAUUUGAAACUGGCAGGCUUGAGUCUUGUAGAGGGGGGUAGAAUUCCAGGUGUAGCGGUGAAAUGCGUAGAGAUCUGGAGGAAUACCGGUGGCGAAGGCGGCCCCCUGGACAAAGACUGACGCUCAGGUGCGAAAGCGUGGGGAGCAAACGGG